GGCAACCCUGACGGAGCAACGCCGCGUGUGGGAGGACGGCCUUCGGGUUGUAAACCACUUUUCUCAGGGAAGAAGGACUGACGGUACCUGAGGAAUAAGCCUCGGCUAACUCCGUGCCAGCAGCCGCGGUAAUACGGAGGAGGCAAGCGUUAUCCGGAAUUAUUGGGCGUAAAGCGUCCGUAGGUGGUUAUUCAAGUCUGCUGUCAAAGCGUGGGGCUUAACUCCAUAGAGGCAGUGGAAACUGGAUGACUUGAGUGCGGUAGGGGUCGAGGGAAUUCCCAGUGUAGCGGUGAAAUGCGUAGAUAUUGGGAAGAACACCAGUGGCGAAAGCGCUCGACUGGGCCUGCACUGACACUGAGGGACGAAAGCUAGGGGAGCG
rnacentral:rRNA from 1 species